rnacentral:rRNA from 1 species
GACAGAGGGUGCAAACGUUGGUCGGAAUUACUGGGCGUAAAGCGCGUGUAGGCUGCUCAGAAAGUCGGAUGUGAAAGCCCUGGGCUCAACCUAGGAAGUGCAUUCGAAACUUCUGAGCUGGAGUUCUGGAGAGGAAGGCGGAAUUCUCGGUGUAGAGGUGAAAUUCGUAGAUAUUGAGAGGAACACCGGUGGCGAAGGCGGCCUUCUGGACAGUGACUGACGCUGAGACGCGAAAGCGUGGGGAGCAAACAGG